rnacentral:lncRNA from 1 species
AAUAAAAUAUAUAUAAUUAAAAGUCCACAGUCCAAAUACAUGGGCCAAACGUGGCCCAAAUCAUUUUAACCCAAUGUCUAGCCCAAAAUUAUAACCAAACCUAAAUACCCCUAGCCCAAUCAUAACGCAGCCCAAAACAAAACCAGAAACAGAAAACCCUAAGAAGAUUCAUGCGCCACAGCCAAGCCUUCCGCGACCAGCCUCCGUAC